UACAGAGGGUGCAAGCGUUAAUCGGAAUUACUGGGCGUAAAGCGUGCGUAGACGGUUAUGUAAGUUAGGUGUGAAAGCCCCGGGCUCAACCUGGGAAUUGCAUUUAAGACUGCAUAGCUAGGGUGCGGAAGAGGGAAGCGGAAGUUUCCGGUGUGAGCGGUGAAAUGCGUAGAUAUACGGAAGGAACAUCAGUGGCGAAAGCGGCCUCCUGGUCCAGCACCGACGUUCAGGCACGAAAGGCGUGGGGAGCAAACAGG
rnacentral:rRNA from 1 species